UAAUUGAGAUCACCUGUCACGCACCCCUUUAUUAAAGGUGAACACAAUGGGUUUGGUUUACUUUUCGCAUCGGCCUGUGUCAAUCGAGGUUGAUUUUAGUGAGGGUUGAAAGUUUUCGAUCUAGUUUGCAGAUCACUAUUGUCACUUUAUACAAACUGACAGUAUGCGUUGUUGCGUGUUUGUUUUUGUGGGCAUUUGACUGAACAGCCCAGACAAAUAUUGCUACCAACAUGGCACUUCGAAACAGACCACCGCAGGGGACUUGACUGGCUUGAGGGAGAGCUGUCCUUUUCUCUUGUUUUAACCCGAAAGGGCUGAAAAUAUCAACAUUUCAGGUAUUCUGUUUGGAUAAUGUGCAAAACUUGUGGCUUCACUAAUAAAAAAUUAACGAAUGUAUUUUUCUUAAUGUGGUUAAACUAUUUAAAGAUUUGUAUGCAAAAUAUUUC
ensembl:lncRNA